UCACGCCACCUUUCAACCCGGCCAGUGCCGAGUGUGACGCGAGCGAGAGAGGAAAGGUGACAUCGCGACCCGUGACGUGUCAAGUCGUGUUCCCAAAUCGGUGCGUUUUUUGUCUUUUAUCUUUCUUGUCUUCUAAAUCUAAUGAUUCUUCCGGAUAUCUCAGGUAGUGUGUGAUUGUUUUUUUCGGAGUCAGUGUGAAGAAAAGUGAGACACUGAUUGUAGGACGUUUUGGAGACAAGGUGGACAGUAUCCUGUCCGUCACUGUGGAGUGGGAAGUACUGGAAAACCCAGAAAACUCUGAUUUGUAUCUUCACUGAAUUCUCCCAUCAAACCACCUAAUUAUCACCAUCCCAUCAGUCUUCAACAGAAGAAUCUCAGGCAUCACAGGAAGCGACACUAUCAGAAAAUUUUGGUCGACUAUUAGGGAGGUGUUAAAAUUAAUGCCAGAGUUGCUACUCUUUGAUUUUGAGUCACAAUAUGGUCCAAAAACUGUUCGUGUUAAACUGACGUCACUUCUUCAGAAAAUUGACAAGGAAUACCCUUUGUUACCCGAUGCCAGACAGAAAAGGAACAACGAAAUCAUUGAUGAGUGGACGACAUCGGUCCAGGGAUUUUUGAAAGUCCUUUCGUUUUUCCCACCUGUGAACACUGAUGCGAACAAGCAAAAAGCAACUGUUAAGGACUCCUUGUCGUCUUUUAUAAUAUUCUCCCAUAUUAUAAAAGAUUAUGGGAAAGGCUUUCUUCGGAAAUAAUGGACGAUAUUAAUAAGAGGUGAAGGAAUACAAUUCUUCGCGGAUGGUUCCAACAAAAAGGUCCUUUCAAACUUCUACUUGAAGGUGGACGAUCUCAUCUGGAAGAUCAAAGCUACAGAUUUUAUUGAUGCAUUUGAUUUCAUUUUUAAAGUUCAUUUCGCUCUCAACAUUGAUUUUAAAAAAUGCCACUCCAAUUUCUUAUAAGUUUAUUCAUCAUUACAUUUAUGGAAUUUCUCUCCAAAAGAUACCAGUUUCUUUAAAAUCUGUAGCAGCCCAUUAUAAUCUAAACUGAAAAAAUCAAUUGAUAAUGCAAUAAUGUAACUAAAAAUCUUGACCCUCUAAAUUCGAUUAAGUCACCCAAAACUUCUCGUUCUUAACCCUUUAAGGACGAGACAUUUUUUACGGACCGAAAAUCGUCAAUAAAAAUUAAACCGGUAAACGUCUUACCUCUAACCUUGGAAAGUCCAACAGAGCCUUAUUUGGUGUAUUUUUCACCUCUACGAACGAUAGGGACAAAAAUAGUCAAAAAGUUAAAGUAAUUUUUCUGAUGAUAUCAAUUAUUGAUUAAUUGUCGCUCUAAUGAAAAAUAUUACGUUUGAGUAUUGUAGUUUUUAUUCCCAAAAUGGUUUUGCUUAAAAAUAAUUGGAAGUAUAAAAAAUAAUUAAAAUCAAUUUUCAAUAACUAUGAGAAUUUAAUUCGCCAUUUUUUAGCUUAAAAAUUUACUACAUAGCAAAUAGCUAGAGACUUGCAAAAAAUAUUCUAGAUUCCUUCAACCUUUUACUUUACAAUUAUGUACAGACAUAAGCAAAAAAUAACUUUAGGUAGUCAGGAAAAAUUAUUUUCUUUAUAGGACACCGGUGUUCCAAUCGACCUUAAAGGGUUAAAAGAUUAAUUCAAUUAAGCAAUGUAUGAAAAUAAAAUAAAAUUGUCUUUGUAAUAAAGUAGAAUUUAAAAGGGC